UGGGGAAUUUUGGACAAUGGGCGAAAGCCUGAUCCAGCAAUGCCGCGUGCGUGAAGAAGGCCUUCGGGUUGUAAAGCACUUUUGUCCGGAAAGAAAUCCUUGGCUCUAAUACAGUCGGGGGAUGACGGUACCGGAAGAAUAAGCACCGGCUAACUACGUGCCAGCAGCCGCGGUAAUACGUAGGGUGCAAGCGUUAAUCGGAAUUACUGGGCGUAAAGCGUGCGCAGGCGGUUUGCUAAGACCGAUGUGAAAUCCCCGGGCUCAACCUGGGAACUGCAUUGGUGACUGGCAGGCUAGAGUAUGGCAGAGGGGGGUAGAAUUCCACGUGUAGCAGUGAAAUGCGUAGAGAUGUGGAGGAAUACCGAUGGCGAAGGCAGCCCCCUGGGCCAAUACUGACGCUCAUGCACGAAAGCGUGGGGAGCAAACAGGAUUAGAUACCCUGGUAGUCCACGCCCUAAACGAUGUCAACUAGUUGUUGGGGAUUCAUUUCCUUAGUAACGUAGCUAACGCGUGAAGUUGACCGCCUGGGGAGUACGGUCGCAAGAUUAAAACUCAAAUGAAUUGACGGGGUCAUAGCUGUUUCC
rnacentral:rRNA from 1 species